AGAACGAACGCUGGCGGCAUGCCUAACACAUGCAAGUCGAACGCUUCCGGGGCUUCGGUCGCGGAGGAGUGGCGCACGGGUGAGUAGCGCGUGGGAACCUGCCCUGUUGUGGGGGAUAACCGAGGGAAACUUCGGCUAAUACCGCAUACGCCCCGGGACUUGGUCUUCGGAUUAGGUCUGGGGGGAAAGAUUGAUCGCAGCAGGAGGGGCCCGCGUCGGAUUAGCUGGUUGGUGGGGUAACGGCUCACCAAGGCGAUGAUCCGUAGCUGGUCUGAGAGGAUGAUCAGCCACACUGGGACUGAGACACGGCCCAGACUCCUACGGGAGGCAGCAGUGGGGAAUAUUGGACAAUGGGGGCAACCCUGAUCCAGCAAUGCCGCGUGAGUGAUGAAGGCCUUAGGGUUGUAAAGCUCUUUCGCCCGCGACGAUGAUGACGGUAGCGGGAGAAGAACCGCCCGGCUAACUUCGUGCCAGCAGCCGC
rnacentral:rRNA from 1 species